UAUUUCUGAGAAUUUCUUGAUGACUCUCUUAACUUAAGCAUAUCAAUAAGAGAAGGAAAAGGAAACAACAGUGAUUCCUGUAGUAAUGGCGAAUGAACUAGGAGAACCACUAACACUGAUUAAGACUGCUUGUCAAUGAGGAGGAAAACUUUUUCAUUAAAGUUUAAAUUUUCAAGAGUAGGAAGAAAAAGUGGCUAUAAAGAGAAGAGUAAAAAGGGACCUGAAAGAUUUUGAUUAAUCUUUUAUAAAGAGUGAAGAGCUUGUAGGGGAGAAUUUUAGUCUUUAGAAAAUAGUGAAGAGGAGUAAAUUUAUUUGGAAGUAUAGAUUGAACGAGUCAUAGUGUCGACUGAAUGGGAAAUACGACGAGAAAACUGAUAGCGAAGAAGUACUGUGAAGGAAAUUAGAAAAGGACUUAUGAGUAAGAGUGAAAAGACAGUGUAAAAAUUAUCAAGGGAACGGAUUAUUUUCAAUACCGUUCCUGGAAAGGAGGGGGAGGCUGGGAUUUUUUUUCAUAAUUUGACGAAUGAGGAAUUGGAUUCAUAUACCCCUGAAUGGAAAGGGACUAGAGAUUGACAAGAUGAGAUACCACAUGGUA
rnacentral:ncRNA from 1 species